UACCUCUAUAUAAAAUAGAAAAAUGAAAAUUUUCAAUAUGAAUGUCGCUUGGGAGUAGAAACAGUAGAACAUACACUGCGUGACAUUGAAAAUGGAACACCAAGAAAUAGUGGCCAGAAAAUUAUGCAAAUUUCAGGGUAGACGCGCCUAACCGAGUUAUGCAAAUGAUGUAAAAUGCGCAGCUCUCGUGCGCACAUGAAGUAAGAUAUGAGGGAAGGAACUUGCAGAAAGGACAGUAUUCGUGUCGUUAUUUCUUCAAGGAAAAUCAUUGUAGAAAUUUUGUUCUUGUGUCAAAAGACACGUGUAAUAACAGAGAAUGCCAGGUCAUCGUAAACGGAGGCAGUUCAAGCAGACAGACGCUUUUAUGAGGGGCAUGGUGAUCGGACUGAAAAGGGCAGGUUGGUCCAUACGUCAAAUCGCAGUUGAUACACACCUUGGUGCGUCCACGGUGCACCGACUGUGGAGAAGAUGGUUGGAACAAGGAAAUGUGGCAAUUUAUAGGAAUGUCGGUGCAACCAGAGUGACGCCAGCACGUGUGGAUCGGCGUAUCCUUCGACAAGCAGUGGCGGCCCCACAAGCCACUUGUACCGCCAUCCUGCAACAUGUGCAAGACACCCUAGAUCAUUCCAUCUCGACCAGAACCAUUUCCCGUCGAUUGGUUGCUAAUGGCUUGCACUCAUCCCGUCCGCUAAGAAGACUGCCAUUGACUCCACCGAAUAGGCGCCAACGUUUAGAAUGGUGCCGGGCUAGAUCGACGUGGAUGACGGAAUGGCACAGGGUCGUGUUCUCAGAUGAGUCGCGUUUCUGCUUGUCCAGUGAUAGUCGCCGUGUACGCGUGUGGCGUCGACGUGGAGAAAGGUCCAAUCCGGCAGCAAUUGUGGAACGCCCCACCGUGCGACAACGUGGAAUCAUGGUUUGGGGCGCAAUCGCGUAUGAUUCCAGGUCACCUUUACUUCGUAUUCAGGGCACUAUGACGGCCCAACGAUACGUUGAUGAUGUGCUGCGACCGGUGACACUCCUCUACCUUCAGGGGGUACCCAAUGCCCUUUAUCAGCAGGAUAACGCCCGACCGCACACUGCUCGCAUUAGCCAACAAGCUCUGCAAGAUGUACAGAUGCUUCCCUGGCCACCGUACUCUCCUGAUCUCUCACCAAUCGAGCACGUCUGGGACAUCAUUGGACGCCGUUUGCAUGCCUUGCCACACCCGCGUUCAGAAGACGAACUGUGGCAAAUGGUUGAGAGGGAAUGGAGAGCCAUCCCUCAGGACGCCAUCCGUACUCUGAUUGACUCUCUACCUAGACGUGUUGCUGCGUGCAUCGCCGUCCGCGGUGGUCCUACUUGCUAGUAAGCCGACGCCGUUCUCGCUCUGUAUUAUGACUAUCAUUUUGAAAUAAAGAUCACUUAUUGUUCGUCCCUGUCUCUCUCUGUCUGCCGAGUUUCAUCACUUUCUGGCCACUAUUUCUUGGUGUUCCAUUUUCAAUGUCACGCAGUGUAUAUUAUUCGGGUGUCUCAAAUAUUACAAUCAAAGAAUUUCUUUUUAUUUUGUUGUUAAAUUAAAAAGAAUGAAAUGACAAUUUAAGCUUUUAUGAAUGAUAACCGGUUAUUCAUUGAACUACAGAGAUUUAUUAUAAAAAUAUAUAUAAAGCUCUGAAAUCUAUAAAAUGAUAAAUUAUUAUAUUAAUUGUAUAUAUCCUUAUAAUGUAGUGUAAAUAGCAAUCGUUAUUUUUUUAAGUUAUUAUUUUUACUAUUUGCUUAAUGUUAACUUUGACUUUGAUUUGUUAUAUACAUCUCUCUCUCUCUCUCUAGAUGAGAUUUGUAUAGUACUUUAGUGGAGCACACAAAUCUCUUAAAUAUUCUAAAAUUGUCUCUAAAUAGAAUAAAUAAAUUAUUUAUAAUUGCACUUUAACUAUAUAUAUAUAUAUGAUUAAUAAAUACUAUAUAUCGAUAUUUGACAACAUACAUACGCAAAAUAGAUUUUUUAAAAACUUUCUUUUCACAAAAUACAUAACCUUUCCAGCACCAGGCUCUACAUCAAACAUUACUAAACAAAAUUCUAUCUACAAUAGCCGUUAUAUAUACAGCUCGGGUUUUUAGACAGGAUUUAGUAACGUCUGAUGAAGAGUUUGGGGCUCGAGAGCUUGCGUUUUAUGUUAAGAAAGGUUUAAUCGAGGGAAAAUCGAGUUUUGUUGUAUAUAUUCUGUCAAAUGUCGAUAUAGAUAUCAAAUUGCUACGUUCUUAAUCAUUAUGCAAACUAUAAAAAGCCUAAGUCCUUUGUUAAAUAAUUGAUUUAUCAAUAGAUAAAACAUAAUAUUUUCUUUUGUCUCUCUCUUUUUCUAUAAAAAAUGGAAUACAUAUUUUAAAACUGAUUGUUUGAUUGAUUUUUAAAAGCAUUCUUUCGAUAGUUCAAAAUGUUUUUACAAAUUUUAAUUAACGUUGUGCGUUUUUGUUUUAUAAUAUUUUAUCAAAAUGUUUCAAUAUAUUUUAUUAUUUUACUCAUAUAGAAAUGUUAUAUAUAUAUAUAUAUAUAUAUAUAUAUAUAUAUAUAUAUAUAUAUAUAUAUAAACAAAUAUAUUUUAAGAACAUUUGAAACAACAAAAAAAGCAAUCAAUUAUAUUUAAUUAUAUUUACAUAGUGUGUUCAAUAAUUUCCAGGAAUGCUAAAUAUUUAAAUAAAUAUAAAAAUAUAAUAAAGUUCAAUUUAAAAUUUCUCAAAAUAAUCACCGUCACUAUCUAUACACUUUGUUCCAUCUUUUUUUCCAGAUUUCAAAACACCUCUGAAAAUUCUCACCUUUCAGGCUUCUCAAAAUAUUCUUCGUAUUCUCCUUUAUUUCAGGUAUUGAGUCAAAUCAACGUCCUUUUGAGACUUUUUUUAUUUUAGGGUAAAGGAAAAAGUCGUUGGGAGCAAAGUCAGGAGAAUAGGGUGGCUGAGUUAUUAAAGCAAUUCCGUGUUUAGCCAACUAGAGUUAUAUAGUGAUGGCCAUAUGUGGCAAUGCGUUGUCAUGAUGCAAGAGCCAAUUUUUCUGAUACCCUUUUUCGGGUCGUUUCUGACGCACAGCCUCCCUUAAACAUCGCAAUACAUCAAUAUAGUAAUGUUGAUAAAUGUUCUGACCCUCGGGCACGAAUUCAUAGUGUAUCAAUCCCUUUACAUCAAAGAAAGUGAUAAUACGACACUUAAUCUUGUAUUUUAUCAUCCUUUUUUUAAUCUUGGUUCUCCAGGCUCUAGCCACUGGCUUGAUUGCCUCUUAGUCUCGGGAUCAUAUCCGUACACCCAUGUUUCAUCUCCCGUGAUAACAAUUUUGAGCCAAUGGGGAUCAGAAUUAAACAUUUCGACCAUGAUAUUGCACUUUAUUUGCGAUGCUCUUUCUGCUCAUUCGUUAAUAGAUGUGGGACAAAUUUAGCCGGGGAUCGUUUAAGAUGCAGAUCAUUCUAUAUGAUGGUUUGGCAUGUUCCAGAAGAGACAUUCAAGUCUUCUGAUAGCUCUCUGAUAGUUAUUCUUAGAUUUUAUUUGAUCGAUGACUUGAUUUUGAGUGCAUUUUUGGGGUUUCUUAUCAAUAAAGGUCUGCUAGUGUGUAGAUCAUCCUUGACGCCCAUUCGACCAGCUCUAAAUCGUGCGAACCAUUCAAAUGUCCUCGAUUAUGAUAGGUCAUCUUUAAAAGCCUGCUUCAACAUUUGAAAUGAUUCGGAAGCGGUUUUCCUUAAUUUAAAGCAAAACUCUAAGCAGAAUCGCUGUUUUUCACUACAGUCCAUACUGAAGUUAGAUGUUCUGAUUUACUAGAGCUUAUAAAUUCGAAAAAACGUGAGCGCGUGCGUCUCUGUGAUCAAUUUUUUCUCUAAGUGUUGAUAAAUAUUUUAUCUAUAAGGUCCAUUUAAAAUUAUUUCAUUAUUUUGAAUAUUUUACGUGAUCCAGUUUCAUUCCUGGAAAUUAUUGAUCACACGUUGUAUUCACUAUGUUAAACAUCCUAAUAAUUGAUUCUGUUGCUUCAUAUACCUAGCACAUGAGCCUGUCUUAGACUGGGUACCCAGAGACUUAAGACAAAUCAGAGUAAUUCAACAAACGUUGUGCUCCAGGAGGACCCGACCCCGAAGAAGCUGCUGCCCAACAUGCCAAUAGCUGACCUGAGCCUUUCGUAACAAAGCUGAAUCUGAUUGUUUUGUUCGUUCGGCUCGAGUCAGGGACUGGCUGUUCGCUCGACCUCAACCCAGGUGUGCACCUAAUUUAUAAAUAUAUUUACAUAUAUUGUACAUAUUAACACCUAGUAUUUCUCACAUCAACAUAGUAUCAUUUCAAUAGUAAAACUUGAAUACAUACUAUAUAGAACUCAAUUUAAAGAAAAUACAACAUAUAUUUUAUUAGUAAUUAUGUUUAGAUUUUAACAAAUUCAAAAUAUGUUAUAUGUAUUGGCCUAGAAGUAUCUAGAAACCAAAUUUUUCAAAUAGGAUUAAUAAUUUGUGUGUACGUCAUUAUUAAAAUAUACAAGCAUCAGUCAUCAAUUAGCAAU
rnacentral:piRNA from 1 species